rnacentral:rRNA from 1 species
GAUGAACGCUGGCGGCGUGCCUAACACAUGCAAGUCGAGCGAAGCGAUUUAACGGAAGUUUUCGGAUGGAAGUUAAAUUGACUGAGCGGGCGACGGGUGAAGGUACGCGUAGGUAACGUGCUCAUACAGGGGGAUAACAGUUAGAAAUGACUGCUAAUACCGCAUAAGCGCACAGCAUCGCAUGAUGCAGUGUGAAAAACUCCGGUGGUAUGAGAUGGACCCGCGUCUGAUUAGCUAGUUGGUGAGGUAACGGCUCACCAAGGCGACGAUCAGUAGCCGGACUGAGAGGUUGACCGGCCACAUUGGGACUGAGACACGGCCCAG